AAAAAGAUAAGCUAAUUAAGCUAUUGGGUUCAUACCCCAUUUAUAUAAAUAUAAAUUUUAUUCUUUUUA
rnacentral:tRNA from 1 species